rnacentral:tRNA from 1 species
GCCAGUGUGGUGUAGUGGGAAAGAGCAAUAGACUCGUAAUCUGGUGAACUGGGUUCGAUUCCCCGCUCCUCCACAUGCA